GGUUGCGAUCAUACCAGCACUAAUGCACCGGAUCCCAUCAGAACUCUGCAGUUAAGCGUGCUUGGGCGAGAGUAAUACUAGGAUGGGUGACCUCCUGGGAAGUCCUCGUAUUGCAAACC
rnacentral:rRNA from 1 species